rnacentral:rRNA from 1 species
CGGACGGGUGAGUAACACGUGGAUAACUUACCUAUAAGACUGGGAUAACUUCGGGAAACCGGAGCUAAUACCGGAUAAUAUAUUGAACCGCAUGGUUCAAUAGUGAAAGACGGUUUUGCUGUCACUUAUAGAUGGAUCCGCGCCGCAUUAGCUAGUUGGUAAGGUAACGGCUUACCAAGGCAACGAUGCGUAGCCGACCUGAGAGGGUGAUCGGCCACACUGGAACUGAGACACGGUCCANACUCCUACGGGAGGCAGCAGGC